rnacentral:rRNA from 1 species
UGCUAGUUGCACGAGUUUAGACUCGUAGCAUAUAGCUCAGUAACACGUGGCCAAACUACCCUACAGACCGCGAUAACCUCGGGAAACUGAGGCCAAUAGCGGAUAUAACUCUCAUGCUGGAGUGCCGAGAGUUAGAAACGUUCCGGCGCUGUAGGAUGUGGCUGCGGCCGAUUAGGUAGAUGGUGGGGUAACGGCCCACCAUGCCGAUAAUCGGUACAGGUUGUGAGAGCAAGAGCCUGGAGACGGUAUCUGAGACAAGAUACCGGGCCCUACGGGGCGCAGCAGGCGCGAAACCUUUACACUGCACGACAGUGCGAUAGGGGGACUCCGAGUGUGAGGGCAUAUAGCCCUCGCUUUUCUGUACCGUAAGGUGGUACAGGAACAAGGACUGGGCAAGACCGGUGCCAGCCGCCGCGGUAAUACCGGCAGUCCAAGUGAUGGCCGAUAUUAUUGGGCCUAAAGCGUCCGUAGCUUGCUGUGUAAGUCCAUUGGGAAAUCGACCAGCUCAACUGGUCGGCGUCCGGUGGAAACUACACAGCUUGGGGCCGAGAGACUCAACGGGUACGUCCGGGGUAG